ensembl:lncRNA
GAAACUCUUAGCAUGGGUUCUUACGUUGAAAAUGUGAGGCUUCUCAUGGUCUGGGGUUCAGGUGUUCUCAUCUGUCCAUAGAAUUCUUGAAGUCUUUGGUUGGUUGUUUUUCCUUUUUUUUUUCUUCUUUUUUUUUCUUUUUACCUUUACAACUCUUAUGGGAACCUUUCCUAACAUAAUGGUAAGUCUAUGUGAAGUUCUUUGUACAGCCAUGAAAGCCACAGGCAGAGGAUCCUAAUAGCAUUUGUUUUUCCUAGUCCAGUAUGUUGCACCCCAUGGCCUUGAAGCAAGAUAGCUUUACCAUCGAUGACAGGUUUGUUUGGGUUUAUAAAUACAUUACCAACAAGCUGCCAAGUAAAAUAAUACCUGGAUAUUUGAGGUUUCUCAGUUGAAAGUCACAGUUGUGGUGAAAUAGAAGUGUUAAUGCCUAGUUGUGAGUUUUCAGACAUUUAAGAGAAAUAUAACAUGCUAAUUACAUUGGACAUGCUAAAGCUGUAACAUGCUGAUGUGAUACCAGGAAUACAACGUUGACUAAUUAGUUGUCUUAAGUAAGGAUUGCUGCUAGAAUGUUGGUGUUUUCUGUGCCAAAUGAUAGCUUUGGUGGAGAGAAGUGGAAGCAAGUUUCAAACUUGGUUAAGCAGAAAAAAAAAGUACUGUUUUCUGUUAGCUUUGUGCAUUACAUUUUCGAGUUUUCUAUUUUAAUAAGGGUCUUUUCAUCAAUAUAAAGAGGGUGGAGAUGGUUCUACUUAACGGCUUUCUUCGUGAGAAUAUGGAAGAGUUUCAUGAGCUUGACACGUUCUGACAGGUUGGGUGCUUGAAAAUGUUAACUUGAAGUUCUAAUAUAAAGAAAAUGUUUGCCAAGUCUUCCAGAAAGACUCAGAAGUAGAGCUUUUUCAGCCAUGUUUUCUCGGUCGCAAGAGAUUGUAGUUCAUUUAUAAGACUGAUAGUCAUAACACCAAGUGUUGGGGCCUUAAGAAGCAUCGAAAGGUGUUCUCCCAACUCACCCCACAUAUGUUUGGUUACAGCAGUGAUACUGGAAGUGGAGUCACUCUUACAGAAGUGGAGUCACUCGGAUUCAGAAUUGUAAAGAAACCAACAGGAGUUUCUCUGUGUCGUUACAUGAGUGUGUUUGUUGUUUGUGAGACAGGAAGAGGGGAAUGAUAGCAGUCCAUGAUAAUAUUUUAUUUGGGUCCCAGUUUUGUCAUGAUAGGAAACAAAAGAAAGAGAAUGAGUGGUUUGUAUAUGUCCCUGGAACCUAGAAAUAAAAAC